AACAAAAAAUAUUUUUAAAAAAUUAUGAUUAAUUUUUUAUUAAUUCACGUGGAACUCAAAACUUACUGAUCAAAUAUGUAAAAACAAGAAAUUAAAUAACAGGACACAGGUGUUCAAUGAGUAUUCAAUGAGUUGGAGAGGUGUGCCAUUAAUUCAUUUAUCUUGGCCACCUGAUAUUUGUGGAGCAGUCGAAGCCACAAUUACAAAACCGAACGAAAGUUCGAAUGGUGAUGGUGGUGAUAGGCAUAAUGCGCAUGCCUUUAUGACUUUUAUUUUAUUUCAACGAAAUGAUAGAAGCCGUGGGCUGAUUAUUGAUGGGUCUUUAAUUAUGAAUGGACUAGUAAAGCACUCGCUCUCUCUUUGCCAUUGAUUGCAGGUUUUGGUGGUUGAGGUCAGAAGCGGUCUAAUUCUAUCAAUUUCUUGAUUAAUUCUUUAAUGGAUUUAUCUUGAAUAUCCCUCGUGAAAUAGUUUUUUUUUUUAAGAUGACCCUCAAAUUAUUAAAAAAUUUAGCUUAUUUUUUUUAUUUUUGUUAAGAAAAUAAGAAAGUUCUUCAUUUAUCCCUUAUUUUUUUUUUUUAAAAAAAGGAAUAAGCUAAGAUUUAUAAGUAUUAAAAAUUAUUAUUUCACGAGGGAGUAAUAACCUGAUAAUUAUGAUGUAAAGUUCCCCACGCCUCAUUUUAGUUUGCCUUCUUUACUUUCUUUUUUAUUGUCGCAAGAAACAUAAAUUUCAUUUUAUCUCAAAUAAGAUAAAAGAGUAAUAUACAACAAUAUAUUUACACAACGAAAAUGACUACAUUACAACUGUAGUAUGUCAAUACGCGUAUUUUCUUUUUCGUUGAAAAUCUCAAAUUUGUCCAAACUUUAUCUGGAGCUUGCUGUUUUUUAGAAUUUUUAUUCUCAACUCUUAAUUUAUGAUACGUUCUUUAUAAACACAAAAACUUGAUAAUCAACAACAAAAUUUUUGAGGAUUUCAACCGACCUUAAGGGCACUAUUUAUUUGCAGAUAAUUGUGUUAAUUGACUAACAAUUUAGUGGAGGAAAAUCAGUGUAUUUCUUAAUCAUGGGGCAGGUUUAUUAGAUCAUGGGCGCUAUGUUUAUAGCAUUAAUUAUGACAUGUUCUUCCACUUCUAGAAUAUUGUCAGCGACGUAAUAAUUUUGGUGUCAAUUGAGAGUUUCUUAGGCUCCGUUUGGUACAGCUUAUUAAAUAGAGCUUAUAACAGUAGAGCUUAUAGCAGUAGAACUUAUACCAAUAGAGUUUUUGGACAAAAAGUCAUUGGGUGUUUGGUUGUCAAUAAAAAAAGCACUUUUGAACCAUUAAACUAUAUGAUAUUUUUUAUAUUAUAUAUAUUUAGAAAAGCUUUAUAACUUCUACUCCCAAAAGCUCAAAUUUUGGGCUUUUCCUAGUAGAGGUAAAUUAGCUUAUUUAAGCUAAAAAAACUCUAUUAAAAAAAUAAUCAAACACCAUAAAAAAUUUUAAAAAGCGCUUAUACGAUUAAAUAAGCACUUAUGGCUCUUAAAUAAGCCAUACCAAACAGGCUCUUAGUGUUGCGGUAAACAAUAUCAUAAUUAUCAGUGGAGAUAUGUAAUAGGCUCUUGGUCUUGGCGUGUGCUACAAAACAAUUGGUUAUAAUUAAUUGUAAUUAUUAAUUCCUCAUCAGACACAACAAGAAUCAGAUCACGUGCCUCGUCUUCAUUGAUUGUCUAAUCCUGUCCUUGUAAUACAAACUUAAUUAAUUAAUCAUACAUCCUAAUUUAAUUUGCUUACGGUAGAUAAGUUGGCAUGAUUUCCCAUCUUUAAUUUACUUUCUCUUGGCAAUGGGCCCGUAGCCCAUUGGCACACCCAUGACCUUAGCUCGCAGAGUAUUGGGACUUGAUUCCCCAGUAUAAUAAGGGUUGAAUAAUCUUCUCAUAUUAGGGUAGAAUUAAUUUCUCUCCGGUAUUAAUAGUGAGGAUAAAUCUCCUUUCAGCUUUAAGUAAAGAUUUAACAUUCGAGCUGUACCAAAAUAGGAUUAUUCAGGAGAGUCCCGACUGACUUCUGAUUGUAAAUCUUAAUAGAGCUCUUAUUGUAAUAUAUAGUGUAUAAA
rnacentral:lncRNA from 1 species